AUGCUGGCUUUGGCAGCACAUGUACUAAAAUUGGUGGAGUAAUACAGAGAAGAUGAGCAUGGCCCCCUGCACAAGGAUGAUGCACAAAUUCCUGAAAAAUAAUUU
rnacentral:snRNA from 1 species